rnacentral:lncRNA from 1 species
CUGAAACAUUGCUUUUUUGCAAUAUGGGAUUUUUGAAAUGCAAAUAUUUGCAGCUCCUCCAAAACCACAAAAAUAAUGUUUGUCAGUGCUCUAGAGAUCAAUGCUUAAACCAAACAAUUUAGUGCAAUCAGGAGGAUGUUUUGACUUAACUGUAAUAUAUUUUAAAAGAAAAAAAAUGCUUUAUAAAUACAUAUACAUGUGCAUACACAUUUAUAGAUAUACAUACAUAUGGGAGACAGUUAGAGAUGUAGAUAUGUUAGGCAACUCUGAUAUGCCAAAGUAUUGUCUUAAAAUAUACAUUUACAACUGUGAUAGUAUGAGGUUUUCAUGGAAGAUUACUAUAAACUGACUUUUUUAUAAAUAAUGUUUGAGGCCUCAAAUAAAACUUAUUUGUUUCCUGUCUCAAGCAUCUGCCAAAAUACUUCUGAUUCUUGGGAGACUGAAAAAGUGGAAGACUUCCUCUUGCCCUUCAGUUACUCUGCUACCAGCUUGUGCAGUUGGAUUUGUUGCUUUAUGUUUCUCACUCUUAUCUGAAAUGCAAGCUUCUCUUUCCCAUUUGUUCUUGAGCUUUGCCAGUGCUAUGAAUACUGGGCAAUCGUACAGCCUUGUUACCACAGUCCAACCAGCCUAUACCUCAGGCUACGUCUCUAACAGCAGCUUUCGAAAGGGAUGAUGAGAAACAACCUGAUGCAGGCUGGAGAGCAAAAUAUGGAAAAUGACUGAAAACUGAGUAUGCCUACUGAAGCUGACAGAACAACAUAAUGGCUCAGCAGGGUGGUCCCAGAGAGCUGGCAUCCUCUGUUACACCCCAAAAUAGGUAGAAAUUGCAAGCAGAAACAGGAGGACUGUCAAGAGCAAGCUGCAGUGUCUGCAUCGCCCCAGCACAGUACAUGUUGCAUUCAUGCGCUUUCCCUAAGUAUGGCCUUACCAUAUGUAGAGGACCCUGGAGAAAUGAGCUGAGCAUGGAAACCUCCACGCAUUUGACAACUGGUGUGUUGGACAGUACUGCUGGAGGAACACGGCAUGAGAGAAUAUCUCUGCAAGUUCUGGUGAUGCUUUCAAUGAGAAAGUCCCCAAGCAUGCCCUUCUCCCUGUCAUGUAAUUCUGAAAAAGCAAAACCUUUGCUAAAACUCGCCUUCCUGAAGUUUGAGAGGCAUUUAGUCUUAGCAAGUGCCUAGUCCAGGACCACAAGUGAAGUUCCUCGGGGCAGCUCCUCCCCCUAGCCACCAGCAGCAGGAGCUUGACUGCACGUCUGCUUUGCAGAUAGCCGGGUGUGCUGCUGGAGCAGGGACAGGGAGCGUUCACCUGGCUAGAGAGAGGUGCACGGGAAAUCCUUCCUCUCCCAAUAGCGCCUUUUUGCUACCAUCUAGUGGUCAUCGACAGCUGUGAUAGCACAGAGACUUGCAGAGAGGUGGAUGUUAGCAACAAAGAACAUGGAGAGCUGUCUACAGAAAUUUCCCCAGAAUUUCUUGGAUUUGCCUUUGUUGGUCCCGGGCCCUGAUCCUGCUGCUCUUACUGUUGGUCCACAGUGCAGCACAGGGAGGCCAGGGCAGGGCUGUGGCAUGCCCUCACCUGGGAGCCAGCCUGCCAUGAUACUACAGCUGUAG